ACGGAAGGCAGCAGUAGGGAAUAUUGCACAAUGGGGGGAACCCUGAUGCAGCGACGCCGCGUGAGUGAUGAAGUAUUUCGGUACGUAAAGCUCUAUCAGCAGGGAAGAUAAUGACGGUACCUGACUAAGAAGCCCCGGCUAACUACGUGCCAGCAGCCGCGGUAAUACGUAGGGGGCAAGCGUUAUCCGGAUUUACUGGGUGUAAAGGGAGUGUAGGUGGUCUGGAAGUCAGAUGUGAAAGCCUGCGGCUCAACCGCGGGACUGCAUUUGAAACUGUCAGACUGGAGUGCAGGAGAGGAAAGUGGAAUGCCUAGUGUAGCGGUGAAAUGCGUAGAUAUUAGGAAGAACACCAGUGGCGAAGGCGGCUUUCUGGACUGUAACUGACACUGAGGCUCGAAAGCGUGGGGAGCAAACAGGAUUAGAUACCCUGGUA
rnacentral:rRNA from 1 species